rnacentral:rRNA from 1 species
AUUGAACGCUGGCGGCAGGCCUAACACAUGCAAGUCGAGCGAGCGGCGGACGGGUGAGUAAUGUCUGGGAAACUGCCUGAUGGAGGGGGAUAACUACCGGAAACGGUAGCUAAUACCGCAUACCAUCAGAUGUGCCCAGAUGGGAGUGGCUAGUAGGUGGGGUAACGGCUCACCUAGGCGACGAUCCCUAGCUGGUCUGAGAGGAUGACCAGCCACACUGGAACUGAGACACGGUCCAGACUCCUACGGGAGGCAGCAGUGGGGAAUAGUGCACAAUGUGCGCAAGCCUGAGGCAGCCAUGCUGCGUGUAUGAAGAAGGCCUUCGGGUUGUAAAGUACUUUCAGCGGGGAGGCGUUACACGCAGAAGAAGCACCGGCUAACUCCGUGCCAGCAGCCGCGGUAAUUC